CACGUAGGGUGCGAGCGUUGUCCGGAAUUAUUGGGCGUAAAGAGCUCGUAGGCGGUGUGUCGCGUCGGCCGUGAAAACCUGCAGCUUAACUGUGGGCGUGCGGUCGAUACGGGCAUCACUGGAGUUCGGCAGGGGAGACUGGAAUUCCUGGUGUAGCGGUGAAAUGCGUAGAGAUCGGGAGGAACACCAGAGGCGAAGGCGGCGACCUGGGCCAAUACUGACGCUGAGGUGCGAAAGCGUGGGGAGCAAACAGG
rnacentral:rRNA from 1 species